rnacentral:rRNA from 1 species
CAGCAGUCGCCGCGGUAAUACGAAGGGUGCAAGCGUUACUCGGAAUUACUGGGCGUAAAGCGUGCGUAGGUGGUGGUUUAAGUCCGUUGUGAAAGCCCUGGGCUCAACCUGGGAAUUGCAGUGGAUACUGGGUCACUAGAGUGUGGUAGAGGAUAGUGGAAUUUCCGGUGUAGCAGUGAAAUGCGUAGAGAUCGGAAGGAACAUCUGUGGCGAAGGCGACUAUCUGGGCCAACACUGACACUGAGGCACGAAAGCGUGGGGAGCAAACAGGAUUAGAGACCCCUGUAGUCCCUGUCUCUUAUAC